CAAUAGCGCAUAUUAAAGUUGUUGCAGUUAAAAAGCUCGUAGUUGGAUUUGUGGUGGUUCCUGUGGUCCGAUUUCGGUACUCUCGGGGACUGCCAUCUUUGGGUGGAUCCUGUGUGGCAUUAGGUUGUCGUGCAGGGGAUGCCCAUCGUUUACUGUGAAAAAAUUAGAGUGUUCAAAGCAGGCUUAUGCCGUUGAAUAUAUUAGCAUGGAAUAAUGAGAUAGGACCUUGGUACUAUUUUGUUGGUUUGCGCACCGAGGUAAUGAUUAAUAGGGACAGUUGUGGGUAUUCGUAUUCCAUUGUCAGAGGUGAAAUUCUUGGAUUUCUGGAAGACGAACUAAUGCGAAAGCAUUUACCAAGGAUGUUUNCAUUA
rnacentral:rRNA from 1 species